CUCUUCUUUCGAUAUUAACAGAAUGCGCACUUGGAAAACCUUCUGCUCUAAAUGCCGUUCUUUCAACUUAAGCUGUUGCUCAUAAUCUAAACUAUUAAUUUUUAUAUAGCUAUGUAAAUAGUGUUCUAUAGUCCUUGUCUUUAAUGUAUGUCUAUACCUAUUGUAUUAUAUUGUAUCAGGUUGGUCUUCACAUGGGACUCAUGUCCUGUUGACCAUACCUUCAAUCAUUUUUAUAAUUUUUGUAUGAUUGUAAAGUUAAUAAAUAAAUAUU